CGGGGUGCACCAGGCGCGAAAACUUUACAAUGCUGGCAACAGCGAUAAGGGGACCUCGAGUGCCAGGAUACAAUCUUGGCUGUCGUGAUGCCUAAAAAGCAUUACAUAGCAAGGGCCGGGCAAGACCGGUGCCAGCCGCCGCGGUAACACCGGCGGCUCGAGUGGUAACCGCUAUUAUUGGGUCUAAAGGGUCUGUAGCCGGCCGGAUAAGUCUCUUGGGAAAUCCAGCAGCUCAACUGUUGGGCUUCCAGGGGAUACUGUUCGGCUCGAGGCCGGGAGAGGUGAGAGGUACUUCAGGGGUAGGGGUGAAAUCUUGUAAUCCUUGAAGGACCACCAGUGGCGAAGGCGUCUCACCAGAACGGUCCUGACGGCAAGGGACGAAAGCUAGGGGCACGAACCGGAUUAGAUACCCGGGUAGUCCUAGCCGUAAACGAUACUCGCUAGGUGUCAGCCACGGUGCGACCGUGGUUGGUGCCGUAGGGAAGCCGUGAAGCGAGCCACCUGGGAAGUACGGCCGCAAGGCUGAAACUUAAAGGAAUUGGCGGGGGAGCACAAGGGCGAAUUCG
rnacentral:rRNA from 1 species